rnacentral:rRNA from 1 species
GACGAACGCUGGCGGCGUGCUUAACACAUGCAAGUCGAACGGAAAGGCCCUGCUUUUGUGGGGUGCUCGAGUGGCGAACGGGUGAGUAACACGUGAGUAACCUGCCCUCGACUUUGGGAUAACUUCAGGAAACUGGGGCUAAUACCGGAUAGGAGCUCCUGCUGCAUGGUGGGGGUUGGAAAGUUUCGGCGGUUGGGGAUGGACUCGCGGCUUAUCAGCUUGUUGGUGGGGUAGUGGCUUACCAAGGCUUUGACGGGUAGCCGGCCUGAGAGGGUGACCGGCCACAUUGGGACUGAGAUACGGCCCAGACUCCUACGGGAGGCAGCAGUGGGGAAUAUUGCACAAUGGGCGGAAGCCUGAUGCAGCAACGCCGCGUGCGGGAUGACGGCCUUCGGGUUGUAAACCGCUUUCGCCUGUGACGAAGCGUGAGUGACGGUAAUGGGUAAAGAAGCACCGGCUAACUACGU